UGAUCUUCUGUUUGUGAUAGCUUGAUAUUCAAUACAUUUGUACUUCAUUGACUUUAAUGACAUAACUCUGUCUAUUCACAUUCCAUCUGAUGAACAUAAUAUGUAACCUACAAAACGUCAAUAUUUAAAAAAUGGCGAUAGAUUUAACAUAUAACAACGAGAUUUAGUAGUUCAAUUACAAAAUAUUUCCGAAAAGCAAAGAUACGAAGCCACAAGUUGGUAUCUUCAACGUAAACGACAUGUACAGGAGGGUCAAGAUUAAGGUCAUAUUGAACCUGUAAAUAUAAUUAGUAGUAACACUCGGACCAACGACGAUGAGGAUUUAUCAUCUGUUUUUUGUGUAAUAAAGUUUUGAAAAAUAUCAGAAAAGAGUAACCAAAAAUUGUCUUUACAACAAUCACCAGCUCAGGUCUUCGUUCGUUUGUUCAAGCUAAUUAAAAUCCAUAUGAUUCAUUGAAGCCGCUGACCCAGAUUUAUAUCACAUUAAUAUAAGUGACCAUUCAAACCUGUCGGCAUUUAAAAUGUCUAACAGAAAAGAAAGAAGCAAAAUCGGAGCAUGCUGUUUGUUCAAUGUACGCAAGAAAAAAAACCACAAAUACAUGUACAGAAACGAUGGAGGAAAGCAUUCAGGAAAGCAUUCAGGAAAACAUUCAGGAAAGCAUUCAGGAAAGCAUUCAGGAAAGUUUCUACAUAACAGGAUGUGAAGCAUUAUCAAAUGGUUUCUAUGUAGUUAAUAGUCUUAACAAACGUUUAGCUGUACUGAACCGCAGUGGUGUACAUUUGAAAGAUAUCGUUCAAUUCACUAGCAUUCCAUUAGAUGUGUGUUACAUUAAGAGCAGAAACAUAACUGCUGUUACGAUCACAUGGUUGUUUUUGUUGAUACAAAAGAACGUAAAAUUGUCGAGUCAGUUGUUUAUAGACUGAAGUGUUAUUACAUAAAAUGUAACGACAACAAUUUGUUUAUUGGUUGUCCAAAUAAUGGUAAAAUCAUUGUUGCUGACUUUUUUGGUCGUGAACUCGGAUAUCUUAAUAUUCCCGGUGAUAGAUUUGCAGUAACUCAUGACAGUAUUUAUGCCAUACAUGAGAAAGAAGACCUUGUAUUAUGUUAUGAUAUCCAAGGUAACCAGGGAUGGAUUGCUCCAGAUAUAGUUCGAGAUCCUAUAGGAAUAGAAGUGGAUGAAGACGGUUAUGUAUACGUGUUUAGCAAACACAAUACUCUUCAUUUAAUAUCACCAAAUGGAUUCAGAAACAGAAUUGUUUUAGAUGGUUCGGACGGCCUUGAUGAUCAUGAAUAUAUGAUGUGUAUGGAAAGAAGAUUUCGUAUCAAAUAUUUUCUAGCGAUUUUAAGUAAGUCAAAUAAUCGACCUAUAGCUUACCAUUACCCUGGCUUAACAAUCGGUCGUUUCUGACUCCAUUUGUAUUGGACAACACUUGAAGGCAUGCGACUACCAUAUUUUGGCAUAUGCCUUCAACUGAUGACGAUUAUUUUGUAAAGAUCAAAAGACUAAUCAAAGCAUGUUGUACGUUAUACACGAAAAAUGUGUAUACUUUAUUAUAUUUUUUUUUAUUUACAUGGUAUUAAACACACUGAAUCAGAAUAUGAAUCUGUUUGAAGAAAAAAACAUUUGCAAGUUAACCUAGUUUAAAUAAUUUAUUACCUUUUUACCAAAUAUAGUCGAUUUUUUUCACAUGCUACUUGUAUAUGUAAAGCAUUCAGGUGAACAUGUUUUGUCUUUUUUAAAACAGUUAUAAGAAAAAUGCUAUUCAGUUAUUCUGGGAUAUAACAUAUUUAUCCAUGAGUCACUUUUAUACUUUGGUAUAUUUUUUUACUGUUGUGACCGAGUAAUACUAAUAGAAUUAAGAAUGGGAAAGGGGAAUGUGUCGAAGAAUAACAACCAACAUUUGGAUAAUUGACCUAGCUAGAUACCUGCUGACGUAUACAUGUAUUUUCUUGGUACCAUGAAUAGUGAAUGAGGUUAAGAGCGCUGGUAAGUAUCUAUCCCACAUUCUACUGCCUGUAUCAAGUCACGAUCUCCGGUCUUUUGAUGAACAUUUCUCUGUUGAAUUGUUUACAUUAAUGAUACGGAGCUAGAUGUAUAUGUAGGACAGACAAGAAACACACAUUGAAACAUUGUGAAAUAUAUAAUCAAUGUAGUUUAUGGAUUUGAAGCAGCAGUUUUACAAUGAAGGCGCCCAAGUUAUGGUACAGUAGCUCAUCAAGAGUUUGUAGUCAAUAAAAUAUCCGACAUUGAGAUAAUGAGUUUUAUAGUAUUUUUUUACUGAGACAAUGGCCAUGAUUGCUUUUAAACUAUCAGAAAAAUAAGACUAUAUAUCAGAAAAGUAACACUCGAAAACAUUGGUAGCAAAGACACAUUUUUUUAAUGUUUUUGGCAUUUUUAAUUGCUAUUGUGUGACAGUGUUGGACGAUUUACCGCCAUUCUAAGGAAAACGUUCGGUUGCAUACAUGUAUUUCGAGUAUUAUCACUUAAUUGGUUAAUAUAAGUACGUAGGAUGUUUUCGUAACCAAAUAUUGUAACGAAAACUUUAUGUAGUAACAUCUGUGUACAUUAAUCAUUCCACAUGCAUUUUGUUGUGUUUUCAAAUGGCGGACCCGAAUGACGAAAACGAUAAACCAUCGUACAGUACCAAUUUCAUACUGUGAUGAACAUUGGCAUUAUUUGCAAAUAAUAAAUAGGUCGCUUACUAGUUUCAAUUGUCAUGAGCAAUACUGAUAUUGUAUUCUACUUUGUCUGGAGGUAAACCUAAAUAAAACGACAAGUUU